CCUACGGGAGGCUGCAGUGAGGAAUAUUGGUCAAUGGACGAGAGUCUGAACCAGCCAAGUAGCGUGAAGGAUGACUGCCCUAUGGGUUGUAAACUUCUUUUAUAUGGGAAUAAAAUGUUCCACGUGUGGGAUUUUGUAUGUACCAUAUGAAUAAGGAUCGGCUAAUUCCGUGCCAGCAGCCGCGGUAAUACGGAGGAUCCGAGCGUUAUCCGGAUUUAUUGGGUUUAAAGGGAGCGUAGGUGGAUUGUUAAGUCAGUUGUGAAAGUUUGCGGCUCAACCGGAAAAUUGCAGUUGAAACUGGCAGUCUUGAGUACAGUAGAGGUGGGCGGAAUUCGUGGUGUAGCGGUGAAAUGCUUAGAUAUCACGAAGAACUCCGAUUGCGAAGGCAGUUCACUGGACUGCAACUGACACUGAGGCUCGAAAGUGUGGGUAUCAAACAGGAUUAGAUACCCGUGUAGUC
rnacentral:rRNA from 1 species